GAGUUCAGCUGGCCGGGCGGGGAAGCAGGGCGUGAGGCAGCCGGCCAGGUGCCAUAGCAACGCAGCUCAAGCUCCGGGAUGGAACUAGCCAUAUCCCUCAGCAGGGAGACAAGCAGGCACAGCUGGGUUUGUGGAACUGGUUCACACCUUGUUGGCCACAGGCAGAUGAAUGGCUAACCCCGAUGUAAGGUCAACUCUAAAAAUAAGAAGAGCGGCUUUGUGUGGGUCUUUCUGCAACACACACAACAAGUGUUGCUGGCUGGGUAGGAGCCACAAGUGGCGGAGAAUGUGCUAGACGUCCUGGUGUGUUCCUGAUGCUGGGGAGAAGAGCCAGAGAGCCAACCCCCUGUGGAAGCCAAGCACUCAUUUCCAAUAGCACACUGUGCCACUUGGGCCUUUGUUGGGAUGUGCUUGGACCUGGCGGUUCCUCUCAGUUAAGGGACUAUCUGUGGCCCAGUCUGGAGUCGGAAUCUGUGGAGCAGUUCAGGGCACGAGCAGCUGGUGCUGUGCAUCAGAAGAACAACUUCCACAACAACUGGGGGAAAGAGGAUUGGCAAGCCAAGCACAUUUUGCAGGGUUGUCUGCAUAAAUUGUUCUGUUCCUGCAGCAAGAUUGUGGAGCAGUGUCAGGGGUGGGGAUGAGGGGCUGUUUAAGGCAUCAGAGGAGCCUCAGUGCUACCUAUGGGGCAGCCUCUGAAGGUGGUUUGAAACUAAUGCCAUCCUGGGGAAUGUGAUUGAAGGGUCACAAGAAACAUACUGAUAUUGAAUGAAUGAAUGAGUUCAAUUCCUGAAAAUUUGGUACUGGACUUCAGAGAUUUCACAUAUCGCCAGAGUGGUGUGCCCUAAUAACUUCUUCGCGGGUGCAUCCGUCACCAUUUGCAGCUUCCAGCUAUAGAGAGGAAGAGCCUCUACUGCAGGGGCUCAAAUCAUGUGCAAUGGAGGCAAAGCUCCACUUUCUCCAGGAAGGGCCAUCAUUCAAUAACCCCCCAAAGCUGUGCAAAAAUGCUCCUAGUCUUAGUCACCCACUGAACUUUCCUGGAGCUAUCAAAGCUUGUGAAAUAACAACCAACAUCAACAAUGAAUAAUGCUUGCAAAGCUAAGCUUGCAAAACCACCACCAUCUCAAGACUGUUUACAGCAGCUGAAUCACCUGAACUUGCCAGCAAUAAAAUUAAUGGCGGGCUGCA